UGGCUCUAGCAUCGAUGAAGAACGCAGCGAAACGCGAUAGGUAGUGUGAAUUGCAGAAUUCAGUGAAUCAUCGAAUCUUUGAACGCACAUUGCGCCCGGCGGUAUUCCGCCGGGCACGCCCGUCCGAGCGUCGCUACAACACCCCUCGCCAGCCCCGUGCUGCCGGUGUUGGGGGACCGCGUCCAGCGGCCCUCGGAACCUAACGGCGGCAGUCUCCGUGGUGCCCGUACGCAGUAAUAAGACUCGUACGGUGGCCCGGUGAUGGCCUGCCUAAGCCUAGCACUGUUGACCUCGGAUCGGGUGGGGAUACCCGCUAA
rnacentral:misc_RNA from 1 species